CAGGAGAGUGGGCAGGUACAAGGUUCACUGGCCUCACAGGCCCUGCUAUGUCCUGAACCCUGCACACCCCUAGUUUCCCAGCGGUUCCUUCGGCCACGCUUCAGUCAAGGCUUUCCACCCUCUUGUGAUGCUGUCCAGCUGCCCUCUUGGAGCUCAGAAGUCUUCUUUCAUUUAUAGCAGAUCCCCGCUGCAUGUUCGGCCACUGGAAACUGGAUGGGCCUGCGGAGAUGCUGCAGGCCCUGAAAUGAGAACCCUAUUUGCGGUGAGCCCUCCAGCUGGUCAUCUGUCCCUGCUUCUUUCAGGAGAGCCUGGCUGCCUAUGUCAACCAGAGGGGGCACCUCAGCAAGGAGACUAGGAAGACCUAUCCAAGGGAAAACCCAGAGAGAGGGCAAAGUGAGCACAGGUAGCCCGGGGAAUGAAGAAGGCUGCUCACUCCAGACUGCCCCCAGCCACACCUGGACACACUGCUCUUUGAGGCUGAACCUCCCACCCUCUUUCCUCACCUGCAGUUUGAGAAGAUAAGAGCUGCCUGUGUAACUGGGAGGCCCAGGGUCCCCUGUCAGAAGACAUGCGACUCCAGGAUCUUGGCCGGGCCAAGGGAAGAAAAAAAUCGUUCUGCUGGGCUUGCAGCCAUGAAUAGGCUGGAGUGCUGGGGCCACCAAUGGGAGAGGUCUGUCUGGCACCUCUGUGAGCCGGGGGAGCAGAUGCAAGAGGAGGCUGUUCAAGGUCUACACCAGGAGCCUGGAGAAUGUGACCAGCAAGGGGAGAGAGGAGCUGACUCCCUGCUGCCGGCACUGGAGGCCUCAGAUUGGCCAGACCUGAAGGCCCCUGGAUCCCAGCCACGUGAGCCAACAGACUCUUGUUUUGGCUGAAGCCAGUAGGAAUUUAGAUCCUUUCAUGCCAGUCAUCCACUUGCUCCUCUCCUACUGGUCUGGCUGACUUCCUCUAACCUUGCAAGUCUUGCCUAAAUACCAUCUCCUCCAGGAAGCCUUCCUUGACCACCAGGCUGUCCUGGCUACACCUCCUCUGAGCUUGCAGAGGGCCCAGUGGAAAUUAUUCUGCCACCACUUAUGGGUGUGUCUCUUCACAUGGUCAGAGCCUUGUGAGCAGAGACUAAGCAUUCAUAUCUCCUAUCUAUCCCCAGAGCCUGGCCAGUGUCAGACACACAGCAAGGGCCCAGAGAGUGUCUGUUGAACCUCAUUCCCUGGAACAGCAUCAUAACCCAGAAAUGAAAGGCUGGGCCUGGAAAACACAAAUUCUUGUUUGCCCAGGACUCAGGUAGACUCACCUUCCAAUUCAUCAAUGAAUCAAACAAUUCAUUGGGAAGGGAAGUGGAGUCCUUGAAUGCCAGCACAGACCUUGCGGAGGCAGAGACCCUGCUGUGGGGAGUGCAGUCUCCAAGGGAGGCAGAUGACACAGAAGUCACUGGGCACUGAGGUGGGGGGCAAGGGGGUGCAGGGGCCCAGCAUGGCCCAGCCCAGGUCUGCAGCCACAGGGGAAGCAAGAGCUGUACUCUGCUGCCAGUUGCAUCCUGCGGCCUGAGAGGGCUGCAUAAGUUAUUAUUAUUUAAACAUGGACAAUUCUAUGAUGAGGGAGCUGCACUA